rnacentral:rRNA from 1 species
UAAUCCUGGUCGGACAUCAGGAGGUUAGUGCAAUGGCAUAAGCCAGCUUGACUGCGAGCGUGACGGCGCGAGCAGGUGCGAAAGCAGGUCAUAGUGAUCCGGUGGUUCUGAAUGGAAGGGCCAUCGCUCAACGGAUAAAAGGUACUCCGGGGAUAACAGGCUGAUACCGCCCAAGAGUUCAUAUCGACGGCGGUGUUUGGCACCUCGAUGUCGGCUCAUCACAUCCUGGGGCUGAAGUAGGUCCCAAGGGUAUGGCUGUUCGCCAUUUAAAGUGGUACGCGAGCUGGGUUUAGAACGUCGUGAGACAGUUCGGUCCCUAUCUGCCGUGGGCGCUGGAGAACUGAGGGGGGCUGCUCCUAGUACGAGAGGACCGGAGUGGACGCAUCACUGGUGUUCGGGUUGUCAUGCCAAUGGCACUGCCCGGUAGCUAAAUGCGGAAGAGA